rnacentral:rRNA from 1 species
AUUGAACGCUGGCGGAAUGCUUUACACAUGCAAGUCGAACGGCAGCACGGGGGCAACCCUGGUGGCGAGUGGCGAACGGGUGAGUAAUAUAUCGGAACGUGCCCAGUCGUGGGGGAUAACGUAGCGAAAGUUACGCUAAUACCGCAUACGAUCUACGGAUGAAAGCGGGGGAUCGCAAGACCUCGCGCGAUUGGAGCGGCCGAUAUCAGAUUAGGUAGUUGGUGGGGUAAAGGCUCACCAAGCCAACGAUCUGUAGCUGGUCUGAGAGGACGGCCAGCCACACUGGGACGGGGACACGGCCCAGACUCCUACGGGGGGCAGCAGUGGGGAAUUGUGGACAAUGGGCGCAAGCCUGAUCCAGCCAUUCCGCGUGCAGGACGAAGGCCUUCGGGUUGUAAACUGCUUUUGUACGGAACGAAAAAGCCUUGGCUAAUACCCAGGGUCCAUGACGGUACCGUAAGAAUAAGCACCGGCUAACUACGUGCCAGCAGCCGCCGUAA